AAAAUCCGUUGACUUUAAAAAUCGUGAGGGUUCAAGUCCCUCUAUCCCCAAAAAG
rnacentral:tRNA from 1 species